rnacentral:lncRNA from 1 species
AUGCUUCAUCCCAAAUUCCACCCCUCUAUUUCAACCAAGUCAUUCUCUCCUCCAUGCAUCCCGUUGGCUUGCCUUCCUAAGUCCACGGACCCAUUGCCAGUGAGAUGUGUUGUCGUUUUUGAGGCCUGCUUCCGAAUGGUCCUCCUUCCUGUGUUCCAGCCUCUGGGAUUUAGUUUCAGUUUUCAAUACAAACUUCGAGAAUUUCCAGUAUUACUUGGUGAGGGUGAGCUGGUAGACUGUCUGCGCACUUUUGCAGUGUGGAGAACAUCCCGGAAGGAAAGGAGCCAAGACAGGAGUUUGUUUUCUCAGCUGACUAGAUUGUGGGCGAAGUGA